CCUACGGGAGGCAGCAGUGGGGAAUCUUGCACAAUGGGGGAAACCCUGAUGCAGCGACGCCGCGUGAGUGAUGAAGCCCUUCGGGGUGUAAAGCUCUUUCGGCAGGAACGAUAAUGACGGUACCUGCAGAAGAAGCUGCGGCUAACUACGUGCCAGCAGCCGCGGUAAUACGUAGGCAGCAAGCGUUGUUAGGAAUUACUGGGCGUAAAGAGUGUGUAGGUGGUGUCGUAAGUUUGGUGUGAAAUCUGCCGGCUUAACUGGGAGGGUGCGCCGAAGACUGCGAUGCUGGAGUAUGGGAGAGGAAAGCGGAAUUCCUGGUGUAGCGGUGAAUUGAGUAGAUAUGCGGAGGAACACUGAUGGAGAAGGCAAUCCCCUGGACCUGUACUGAUGGUCAUGCACGAAAGCGUGGGGAGCAAGGCAGGAUUAUAUACCGUGUUAGUCCUCGCCCUAAUUGAUGUCAAUUGGUUGUUGGGAAGGUUCCUUCUCAGUAAUGUAGCUAAUCGCGUGAAGUUGACCGCCUGGGGAGUACGGCCGCUAGGUUGACAACUCAAAGGUAUUGUCGG
rnacentral:rRNA from 1 species